UGGGGAAUAUUGCACAAUGGGCGGAAGUUUGAUGCAGCGACGCCGCGUGGAGGGUGUAGGCCUUCGGGUUGUGAACUCCUUUUUCUCGCGAAAAAGGCACAGUUUUGGCUGUGUUGAUGGUAGUGGGGGAAGAAGCGCCGGCUAACUACGUGCCAGCAGCCGCGGUAAUACGUAGGGCGCGAGCGUUGUCCGGAUUUAUUGGGCGUAAAGAGCUCGUAGGUGGUUCGUCGCGUCUGUCGUGAAAGCCAGCAGCUUAACUGUUGGUCUGCGGUGGGUACGGGCGGGCUUGAGUGCGGUAGUGGUGACUGGAAUUCCUGGUGUAGCGGUGGAAUGCGCAGAUAUCAGGAGGAACACCGAUGGCGAAGGCAGGUCACUGGGCCGUUACUGACACUGAGGAGCGAAAGCGUGGGGAGCGAACAGG
rnacentral:rRNA from 1 species